GAUGAACGCUGGCGGCGUGCUUAACACAUGCAAGUCGAACGAAGCACUUGAAUGGAAUUUUUCGGGAGGAAGCUCAAGUGACUGAGUGGCGGACGGGUGAGUAACGCGUGGGUAACCUGCCUCAUACAGGGGGAUAACAGUUAGAAAUGACUGCUAAUACCGCAUAAGCACACGUGAUCGCAUGAUCGAGUGUGAAAAACUCCGGUGGUAUGAGAUGGACCCGCGUCUGAUUAGCUAGUUGGUGGGGUAAUGGUCCACCAAGGCGACGAUCAGUAGCCGGCCUGAGAGGGUGAACGGCCACAUUGGGACUGAGACACGGCCCAAACUCCUACGGGAGGCAGCAGUGGGGAAUAUUGCACAAUGGGGGAAACCCUGAUGCAGCGACGCCGCGUGAAGGAUGAAGUAUUUCGGUAUGUAAACUUCUAUCAGCAGGGAAGAAAAUGACGG
rnacentral:rRNA from 1 species